AGUUCUGGCAGAAACUAACAUUCAGCACUGGACCUCCAAGUGAACUUCUGUAUUUGAAGAGUUGUGAAUGGCACUGAACCUUGUGUAAUCAUCGCUGAACAUCUUCACUUCUGACCUUAUGAUAAAGGGAAGAUAAUGUAUGAAACAAAUGAAGAUGGUUGGACAUUGACACUGCCCUGGAGAACUCUUGCAGUGAUAUUCUGGGUCUGAGAUGAUGGCUCUCCAACAACCACAACCAUCUUCCAUUUUGCUAGGACAAUGGAAGGAAUUAUUUUCUCAUGUCUGCCAGGUAUUUCAAGGACCACCUAGGGAAGAAUGCAGAAGAGGAUGGAGGUCUCUCAGAGGAGGUUGCACGAUCUAUGGAAGUACCACGAAAUAGCUCAUAUAUACCCUUCAUCAAUUCAAAUGCAUAAACUUCAGUUGAGUCACCAAUACAGGAAGUUGUAUUGUCACAUGUUGUGUCACCCAUCAUAAAUCGGCAGGAGUAAGUGUUGGAGACAUGGAAA